rnacentral:rRNA from 1 species
CCUACGGGAGGCAGCAGUGAGGCAUAUUGGUCAAUGGCCGAAAGGCUGAACCAGCCAAGUCGCGUGAGGGAAGACGGUCCUAUGGAUUUUAACCCUCUUUUGUCGGGGAGCAAAAGACGCCAUGCGUGUCGUUCCGCGAGUACCCGAAUAAAAAGCAUCGGCUAACUCCGUGCCAGCAGCCGCGGUAAUACGGAGGAUGCGUGGGUUAUCCGGAUUUAUUGGGUUUAAAGGGUGCGAAGUGGGAAGAUCAAGUCGGCGGUAAAAUUGAGGGGCUAAACCCCUUAUAGCCGUUGAAACUGGUUUUCUUGAGUGAGCGAGAGGUAAGCGGAAUGCGUGGUGUAGCGGUGAAAUGCGUAGAUAUCACGAAGAACUCCGAUUGCGAAGGCAGCAUACCGGAGCUAAACUGACGCGCAUGCACGAAAGUGCGGGUAUCGAACAGGAUUAGAUACCCCAGUAGUC